rnacentral:rRNA from 1 species
GACGAACGCUGGCGGCGUGCUUAACACAUGCAAGUCGAGCGGAGCGGCGAACGGGUGAGUAACGCGUGAGUAAUUGCCCCCCUCUCUGGGAUAACAGUUGGAAACGGCUGCUAAUACCGGAUAGUGGGGGAUGACUCGCGUCCUAUCAGCUUGUUGGUGGGGUAGUGGCCUACCAAGGCGACGACGGGUAGCCGGCCUGAGAGGGCGACCGGCCACCAUGGGCGGAGAUAGGGCGCAAAGGGCAACGGGGGGCAGGGGGGGGGAAUAUUGCACAGUGGGGGAAACCCUGAGGCAGCAACGCCGCGGGCGGGAUGCCGGCCUUCGGGUUGUAAACCGCUUUAAGCCAUGACGCGGUAGUGGCAGAAGAAGCACCGGCUAACUACGUGCCAGCAGCCGCGGUAAUAC